rnacentral:tRNA from 1 species
AGCCUUGUGGUGAACUAUCACAUUGAAUUGCAAAUUCGAAGAAGCAGCUUCAACGCUGCCGGGGCUUC